rnacentral:rRNA from 2 species
UGGGGAAUCUUGCGCAAUGGACGAAAGUCUGACGCAGCCAUGCCGCGUGAAUGAUGAAGGUCUUAGGAUUGUAAAGUUCUUUAGCCUGUGACGAUGAUGACGGUAACAGGAGAAUAAGCCCCGGCUAACUUCGUGCCAGCAGCCGCGGUAAUACGAAGGGGGCUAGCGUUGUUCGGAAUUACUGGGCGUAAAGCGCGCGUAGGCGGUUAUGCAAGCCAGAGGUGAAAUGCCUGAGCUCAACUUAGGAAUUGCCUUUGGAACUGCAUGGCUUUGAGGACGAGAGAGGUGAGUGGAAUUCCCAGUGUAGAGGUGAAAUUCGUAGAUAUUGGGAAGAACACCGGUGGCGAAGGCGGCUCACUGGCUCGUUUCUGACGCUGUAGCGCGAAAGCGUGGGGAUCAAACAGG